AGCUGUGAACGAAGAGCAUGUGUUACAUGUAAUGACAGUGUGUCAUUGACAGUAACAAUUGAAGUGUAACCAAAGUGUUAUUAAAUUGAAUACUAUGAAAGAGUAGAUUGUUUACUAAAAUGAAGCAAGUAGAAAGACAUCUUCUUCUUAGUCUGUUGCUUUCAACUGGUGUAAUAGGUACUGAUCCCAGUUCCACACAGACAGUAGAUUCCAAAAAACUACAAACAGUUCCUCCUUGUCAGGCCUGUCGCAUACUUGUCAGUUCUUUUCAAAAGGGUUUGGAAGCAACAGCUCGAGGAAAACAUGAAGGAGGCAAUACUGGAUGGGAAGAAUCUAGACUUGGGAAUUAUGCUGAUAGUGAAAUAAGACUUGUUGAAAUACAAGAAAAACUGUGUUCUGACUCGACUAGAGGCCAGACUCAAUGCCAAGCCUUAGUUGAAGAAUAUGAAAGUGUUUUGGAAGAUUGGUGGUUCCACAAGAGGAAAGAAAAUUCAGAUUUACACAAGUUUCUUUGUAUCGAUGUCAUGCAAGUCUGUUGUCCUGACAACCAUUAUGGGCCAGACUGUAAACCAUGUUCCAACGGAACAAGGAAGCCUUGUUCGGGACAUGGUCAUUGCAAGGGAGCUGGAACGAGAAAGGGAUCUGGAAAAUGCAAGUGUGAUGAAGGUUACGAGGGUGAGCAGUGUGAUACGUGUUAUGUUGGUUAUUAUCCUGAAACCAAGAGCGAGGGCAAGAUGGAGUGUCUAAAAUGUGACAGGUCAUGCAGAGGUCAUUGUCGAGAAGGUGGUCCUAGAGGCUGUGAGGUGUGUCAAGAUGGUUAUCAGCAUAUUGUGGACAUGGGAUGUGUUGAUGUCAAUGAAUGUUUAGAACUUGAAAGUGAUCCUUGUAAAGGAAAUUCAUUUUGUGCAAACACGGAGGGCUCUUACACUUGCAUUGAGUGUGAUAAAGCUUGUAAUGGGUGCCAUGGUGAUGGUCCUGAUUUCUGUUUAGAAUGUGCAAAAGGCUUUAUUAAAGAAAAAGGAGUUUGUGUAGAAAAAGCCGCUCAGGAUCGAUCUCUACACGCCGAACUUGCUAGGUAUUCUACCUACCUGGGAUUAAGCAUUGCUACGUGUAUCAUCUUUCGACGUAACAUUCUUGUAGCGAGUGUAAUUGGAGUCCUUGUGGCCAUAUACAUAGGCCUUUCUGAAUACACUCUUGGUGAAUGGAACCGUUCAUCUGUGGGAAAAUAUUUUAACACUUGGUUGAGUAAAUAACCCUUGGUCAACUUAAGUAUCCAACUUGUUUUUGUGCUAAGAACAGCUCAACUUUAAUAGCAUCACUGAAACACCAGCACACCAGAAGCUACUGUAAACCCAGAUAUUAAAUAGAUAACUAACACUAACUUGUACUUAUGCAUGAAUCACAUUGUUUUUGACUUAAUCAUUGUUGCAUAUCACAUUUAUUCCUAAUCAAUAUUAAACGUUUCUUUCCACCUUUAUCAUUCCUUUUCGUAUGCUUUGCAUACAUUUAUGAGAGCUACGUUUGUUUAGGGAUCACGUUUAUGCUUAGAUUACGAUGCUGUAUCACUGCAUAACUACUCUUUGAGAUUAACUUCGGAGAUUCUCAUUCCAUGUGCACUUAUACUCAGUUAUCUCAUUUUGAGUUCUACAGUCUGAUACUGAGAGCUGUGCUCUGUCUGUUCUUCUGCCAUUAUUAAAGCAUUCCAUAUUUAGAUAAUGAAUUUUAUGCUACUGAGAAAGGAUUUAAAGACAUUAUGAGACAAAUUAUUAUGAUUGUGAUUUAGCGACAGUAUGCACCACCAAAAUCUUAUGGAGGAAACGUGUUUUUCAUUGUGUCAAAUACUGCCAUAGGAUUUGUUUUAGUCACUGCUUAAAGUUCGUAUAUCUUUGCCUAUCCUCACAUUUCCCGAUUCUCAACGUUUGCGACUAUUGUUGAUGAAUUUUCUUUCUUGCAGUUGUGUAUUUAGUUGUACUUCCAUUAUAACUCUUUCCAACGAAAAAGAAUCAUAAAUUUCCAGUUUAUGUUUUUAUUAAAGUUUUGAAAAUAAUGAAUUUUUAUUUAUUUCAAGGAUAUACUUAAAUCCUUAAUUCACAUCAAUAACAAAAAGGAGAAAGACAGUUUAGAACAAUUUCUCAAAAUUAAACUUCUGGCAGCAUCUGAGUAAUUUGAGGCAAUAACAUUUGGAAUGUGUCCCAUUGAGAAGCUCCCUCUAUUGUCAGAUUUUUUCUUCAUUUUUUAAAAAUAUUUUUCAUAGAUAUUUUAUUAUUGGUUGAUUAAUAUUCGUCAUUUCUCUAAUUAUUUAAUCGUUUUAUAUAGUUCUUGUUUUUUUUUGUAAUCUUUACCUAUUAAAAAUUGUAAAAAAUAUUUAUACUAUGAUUAGAAUAUUUAUUUGAGCUUUAUAUAUGUGAUUAGCGAACAUUUUCCUUUAUGUGGAGUUUCUCUGCCAUCUUGUGAGUAAUAUUGGUACUUACAUGGGAAACUUAAAAGAAAUUAAUGAAAGUUGUUACAUAUUAUAACUUCCUGCUGUGCAGAAAACAACAUUGAAUUUGUAAUAUUACAGUUUACAGAGUUUGUCAAAAUAGAACUUGGGACAUAGUUGUGAAAGAUUAAAUUCUCAGGUUUAAUGUUUGAAACAACAUUUUAUUAAAAUUGAAAAGCUUUUUAACAUUUAAACGUUUAGUCAAAAAAGAAAAUCCAAAAAGAAAUUUGUUUUUUAUUUGAUUCCAAGGCUUGUCCCUAAUCGAAACUGAUACAAGUCUAUCUUUAUUAUCUCCAGGAUCAUUGAAGGCCAGAUUGUUUGGUUAGAAGUAGAAAUAAAUCCUAUGUUAUCUCGAGAGCUGGUUCAUAGAAACCAAAAUUACAUUCUCAAUUUGUAGUUGUAAGUCUUAAAAAUCCCAGUGACAUUUAAUAUGUAGUAAUGGUUUCAGUUUGUUUUAGAAUAAUUAUUUUAAAUGUUUUCCUCUCAAAUGUUCACAAUUAAUAUGUAGUAAUGGUUUCAGUUUGUUUUAGAAUAAUUAUUUUAAAUGUUUUCCUCUCAAAUGUUCACAAUUAAUAUGUAGUAAUGGUUUCAGUUUGUUUUAGAGUAAUUAUUUUAAACUUUUUCCUCUCAAAUGUUCACAAAUUAAUUAUAAAAUUUAAGCCUCAUUUUAAAACCUGCCUACAGUAUUAUUAUCUUAUUGUUAUUAGUUUCACAUUUGUUAUAAAGAUGUUAAACUGUAUAAAUUAAAAAAUCUUUCAAAGACCCUAAGCACAACAUUGUUGCUGAAAAAUGUUUAACAUUCUAGAGUUCCCUGAAUAAACUUUCAGAAAUAGUGUUAAUUCAGUAUAUGUAUUGUCUAAACUUUAUAUUAGCAUUCUUCACCAUUUGCCAUCUGUGUUUUGCCAGUCGCUUAUGCAAUUUGAUUGGUAUGUGGUCAACAUUGAUAACGAAAGAUGUUUUUUGGGAGCUGUAUGUUCUAUUACAAGAGUUUUUAAAGAAGUCGUAUCUUUACAUUAAUAAUGAUGUUGCUAAGUCAAAUAAUAUUUAAACUAAUAUAAUCGGUUCUUGUGUAGGAAAAUCUUCAAAGACAGCAGUUCAAAAUUUAAAUAAUUAUGUUGAAUUAGCUGUGUAGUUUUCUUUCUAGUCAGUAGCUUUCUUUUGAAGGAAGUGGCCAGUUUAAUUUUCGUUUUGGGGAAAUAAAUCUAAUGAAACUGAUAAAUUUAAGCACUUCAGCCUUAAAUAACCGAAUUCAAAUUUGACUAAGAAGAACAUAUAAUAACAUUUUAAUUACUACAGGUUACUGUGAAUGAGGUCUUUUUCUCAGACCUUGUCAGUUUACUGUCCUCAAAAUUUUGCUUAAAAUACUGCGUAUGUGUGUGUCGGUCAUUUUAAAAAUCACAUUGUCGGAAGGUGACAUUGUUAACAAGCAUCAGUCUUAUUGUGAUGUUUUACCACAGUCUUUAAGCUCAAAGGGAUCGCACCAAACUUUACUGAAAAUAAAUUAUUCCCAGAGAGAGUUACAAAUUUCUUUGUUUUAAUUUUAUUCUUGGUAAGUUUAAAUUGUACAGAAUUCAAAAGAGGAACAAGGUCUAACAUUUGCUAAAUAUUAAUCCUCUGGUGAAACUAGUGAAAGAAAAUGGAUUUUGAUAGUGCAGAACUGAAAAAAGCCUGUAGGAUAUUACAAGGUUUGAUCUUUUGAAGCCAAUGAUGUGUUCCUUCGUUUCUGAAUUCUGUUAAUCUUCAUGACUCCUCUCAUUAGUUAAAAGGUUGACAACCCUUGCAGCUCCUAUGUCGUAAGGCUUUAUUCCUGAAUCUGAAAUUAUGUGACAAUAUGAUCCAAUUUCAAAUUCCGUGCUCCUGCAUACAUCUUCCUUAACAAAAAUUUCUCGUUGCUGCAGCUAUGUAGGGUUAACUUGGCUGAAGUGGAAAUAGUUUGUUUUUUAUAUAGGUUUACUUGGCAAUUCCUUAGUAUUGUGUUGUUUUUCCAGAAUUUCUAUCACAUACUACAGGGAUUUAGACAUUUUGGCAAUAAAGGUAAACAAAACACGAGUCUCUACUCUAUAGAUAAUUAUAGAAAAUGUUUCAUUUCAGCCAAAGUUUCAGCAUGAAGCUGCAAUGGUGGAAUGUUGGCUGAAAUCAUCUUUUUUAUCAUUAUUAUCUGUAGAAUAAAGGUAAUUUUUUUUCUAACUUUAAUGCUAACAUUUUUUAAGUAUG